rnacentral:rRNA from 1 species
GAUGAACGCUGGCGGCGUGCCUAAUACAUGCAAGUCGAGCGAACAGACGAGGAGCUUGCUCCUCUGACGUUAGCGGCGGACGGGUGAGUAACACGUGGAUAACCUACCUAUAAGACUGGGAUAACUUCGGGAAACCGGAGCUAAUACCGGAUAAUAUAUUGAACCGCAUGGUUCAAUAGUGAAAGACGGUUUUGCUGUCACUUAUAGAUGGAUCCGCGCCGCAUUAGCUAGUUGGUAAGGUAACGGCUUACCAAGGCAACGAUGCGUAGCCGACCUGAGAGGGGGAUCGGCAACACUAGAACAGAGACAGGGACCAGACUCCGACGGGGGGCAGCAGUGGGAAAUCUUCCGAAAGGGGCAAAAGCUUGACGGAGCAACGCGGCGUGAGUGAUGAAGGUCUUCGGACCGAAAAACUCGGUUAUUGGGGAAAAAAAAAUGCAUAAGUAACUAUGCACGUCUUGACGGAACCUAAUCAGAAAGCCACGGCUAACUACG